CUUUACUACCUUAGAAGAGGGUUUGUAAACUUUAAACUUUACAAUCCACUUUGCGCCAUGGUAACAAAGAAUGUUUGUAAAACCCGAUCUUUUCUUCAAGGUCCACGUUACUGUUAUAUGAUCGCUAUUCUCCGUGUACUAUAUUUUCGCUGGGUUCAAUAUAUGGAUUAAUAUUUUUUCAUGACUUGAUAGAAUACCAGGAGAAUGACAAAACGCAUCGUUUCUUUUGGGUGACAUCUGAGUGCAAGGCCUACUUACUGCAUAAUAAAUAAAUACAGACUUUGGAACGAUAAUUUAGUACGAAAUAACGGACAGACAUACGAGGGACGGUAGACUUCCACAGCGUUUAAAGGAACUUAGAUACAGCAGAUACCACUUGGACCGGAGUCUGUAUAAGGCCACUGGUUUCCAAAAACGUUGAAAAAGAAAUUUUGAACUUUGAAGGAUUUGUUCUUAUCGCAGUGAUUAAAAAAAAUGGAUAUAUCAAACAAGGAUCCGGCAAAUAUGACUUAUAUUUUUCAAUUUGAAAGAACACAUGACGUGCGAGCGUUUGAUAAUUACAUGUACAAGCACUGGAGUGACUGCUUCGUAUAUUCAGCAAUUUAUUUGGUCGUCAUCUUUAGUGGUCGCUAUGUUAUGGAAAGCAGAGAAAGAUUUGAUCUAAGACCGUACUUAGCAGUUUGGAGUGGACUUUUAGCAGUUUUCAGUAUUUUAGGUGCGCUCCGAACCGUUCCUGAAUUAAUAUGGGCACUUUCGUACCAUGGUUUUGAAUACACGUGCUGCAGCGGUUCUUACUUAGAUCAAGGAAAGGUUUCUGCAUUCUGGACAAUGCUUUUUGCUCUGUCAAAAGUUGUGGAACUAGGAGAUACUGUAUUUAUAAUUUUGAGAAAACAGCAAUUAAUAUUCCUUCAUUGGUAUCAUCAUAUAACAGUGUUGAUGUACGUGUGGUACAGCUUUACUGACAAAAUAGGCUCGGCCAGAUAUUAUCAAGUUAUGAAUUUUACUGUUCAUUCGCUAAUGUACACAUAUUAUACUCUUAGAGCAAUGAAAUUCCGACUUCCGAGAUGGAUAAGCAUAUUAAUAACGUGUUGUCAACUUGCUCAAAUGGCAGUAGGGAUUUUUGUUAUACUCGUAUCUUAUAGUGUUCUAUCUGCAGGAAAAGAAUGUGUCACUAGCUAUACAAACAUAAGAUACAGUCUGACUAUGUAUUUUAGCUAUCUUGUGUUAUUCAUACAUUUCUUCUAUAAGAAUUAUAUUGUCAAAAGACCAGACAUUCAUGAGAAAAAACUGUAAUAUACAUGAAGUAAAUAAUAUUUUCGGUUCAUGAAGAAUUUUACAUACAACUGUGGUCUUGUUGAAUAGAAAAUAUUGAUAAUGAAUUUGUAAACUUUAAAAUUAGGAGAGAGGCAAUCAUUCUUACUGUGUUAAAUGUUGAAACGUGUAGAGCAAACGGUAGACGGAUUAUUAUAAACUUAUGAAAUGUUUGAUCAAUAACAAAUACUUUCUCUUGAUCCCGUACAGAUGAAUAGUCUGAAUAGUAAUUAUACCAAUAUUUGUACUGUUAAUCGAUCACGCUUCAUAUAUUCACAAUAUCGACGAUUAAUGUACAUGUAGUUUGUAAACUACAGAUAUGCUUAAUUCAAAAUAAAUCAUUCAUAAAUAAAUAAUUUCAGAAUUAUGAUAUUGCUAAAACUCAAAUAUGAUUAUGUAAACUUCAGCAUAUGAUAUUUUCAAAUACAAAUCGUGUAAACUUCAGACUAUGCUUUAUUCAAUUAUAAAUUAUGUAAAUUUCCGACUGUGAUUUUGCUUUAUUCAAACAUAAGUCAUGUUAACUUCAGCUACAUCUUCAUUCAAACAUGCUGAAUUCAAACAUACUCCUAGUAAAUUUCAGCUUUAUGCUUCGUUCAAACAUGCUGAACUCAUAUACAAAUUGGGUUAACUUCAGCUAUAUGUCAUUUCUGAAUAAAUCAUGUAAACACCAGAUGUAUGAUGUUUCUUAACUAAAACAUAAAUCAAAUGUAUCUUCAUUCAUCUAUUAUUCUUAUUGUUUGUAAUACCAAAAUACAAUCAUAUAUAUAUAUUUUUUUAUUUAUAGACUUUCUGUGAGUAAACAAGCCGAAGACAUAUAUUUAUAAUUAAUAUACUGCAUUCGAUUUCCAACAGUUUUUGUUGUAUAUUUUCCCAGCAUCGUUUUGAAUUACUUGACUUUAAAUGUACCCAUGCGCCUAAGUGAAGCUCCUUUUCACACGAGAACAUCGUUAUACAAAUGUUUCUAAAUAAGUGUUGCGUAACAGCAACAAUUAAUGGAAUGCACUUUUAUUCAUUGAUAAUUACAGCUAAGUAUUUGAUUUAAACAUAAUUGUUUAAGUCGUUUCACGAAUCAGUUGCAAUAAAAGUAAUAAAUUAAUUGCGCAGAUUGCUAAUUAGUUUACAAUGGUCCUUUGCCUGACUUUGCUAUAUUGUUCUGUUCUCUACCUCAGCCUGUAAUAAUGUAAAUAAUCAAGGUAAAACAAUGUUAUUCAAGUUUGGAGAUACGAAUUCGUCCUAUAUGAUGUGGUAUAAGGUCAAUAAAUGUGUCUGCUAAUCAA
rnacentral:lncRNA from 1 species